UACGUAGGGACCAAGCGUUGUUCGGAUUUACUGGGCGUAAAGGGUGCGUAGGCGGGUCUUUAAGUCAGGGGUGAAAUCCUGGAGCUCAACUCCAGAACUGCCCUUGAUACUGAGGAUCUUGAGUUCGGGAGAGGUGAGUGGAACUGCGAGUGUAGAGGUGAAAUUCGUAGAUAUUCGCAAGAACACCAGUGGCGAAGGCGGCUCACUGGCCCGAUACUGACGCUGAGGCACGAAAGCGUGGGGAGCAAACAGG
rnacentral:rRNA from 1 species